rnacentral:lncRNA from 1 species
AAAAUACUGUUUUUUUAGUAUAAAUUGUCCAACUCUGUAUAAGGCAUAUUUAUAUGAAAAAAGUAUAUAUAUUCAUUUGGAAAAUGGAAAGCUUGAUAAAGUGAUGUUUUAUUUAUUAACUAGACAUGAGAAAGAAAAAUUAGUUGAGGAGUGACACAAACAUGACAACCAAUUUACCUACAUAAUCCCAAAGUCUUAGGAGUUUGGGGUACCAGAUACUUCUGCAUUGGGCUUAGGAGAUGAAGCUGAAGUCAGAAAGAUCAGUGGAAAGUUCUUUCUGAGGAACAGCUAGACUCCAGAUCAUUUUCCCAAGCUUUCAUAACCAAGCUAAAUCCCAAGCCCCACCCCAGCAGAGGAAAUGAAGUUUCCAUUUCUGGCAAAGUUUAUCUAGAGAGACUCAGGGAGAGCAAGCAAAACUAAGUACAGGGUAUGGCCCUGAAUUGGAAAACAAGAAGAUUGAGUGAUAGUCUUUUUUAACUACUGGGAGUCUUCCAGCCCUCUUUUCCUUUUUGGCUCUCAGAAUGCUGAUGGCAACAGACUUUAGGAAUAGCCUAGGGAGUUCCUAUUCUGGACUCAAAAGACUGGCUCCAAACAAAAGUCUUAAAAAACUCUCAUUAAGGCUUCUCAAGUGAAAAGGAUGGUCCCCACUUUAUCACUCAUGGUAAGAGCCAUUAAUUCACAGCUAACUUCCUAUCUUCCUUUCUUUCUUUCUUUCUUUCCUUCCUUCCUUCCUUCCUUCCUUCCUUCCUUCCUUCCUUCCUUCUUUUUUUCCCCAGAGUUUUAGGACCUCACUCUUAAAUAUAAAUUGCUGGCCAGGGAAAACCAGACAUUAAAUGUCCCUAUAGAUGACAAAACCAGAAUGAACAAGAAGAAAAGAGAGAUUCAGAGUAAACACAUCUGUUAAAGGAAAGAGAAUAAAACUUAAAAACCCCCAAAAACCUACAAGUAAAGUUCUCAGUAAGAUGAGGCAUUGCAUUUGAAAUAAGAACAGGAUACAUUCAUAAGAGAGUAUCUCAUCUCUUGAUCAAAAAAGGAUGCUUUCAAACUACAAACAGAAUAAUAGAAACUUUGAAAUCAGUACAAUGUUUGGAAUAUAUAUUUUAGGCAGUUUUCCCCAGAAGUACCAUGGAAAGGCCAAAAGGUGAAAAAUCAGAAUAAAUGUUAGGAAAAUAAUAUUUUUUGAAAAGAUGUAACUGAAUAAUGUGAGUUCCAUAAAAAAGAGACUAGGAGAAAAAUGGGGGAAAUUGUAAAUAAAGUAAUACAUUUCCUAAAAGAAAUGGACAUAAGUUUUCAGAUUGAAAGGGUUCAUAAAGAUUGCAGGAAAAAAAUCCAUUAAUAAAUACCAAUCCUGGAAUUCCUGUGGUGGCACAUUGGCAACAAACCUGACUAGAGUGUCCAUGAGAAUGUAGGUUCGAUCCUUGGCCUUGCUCAGUGGGUCAGGGUCUGUGUUUCUGUGGCUGUGGCACAGGCUGGCAGCUGUAGCUAAGAUUGGACCCCUACCCUGGAAACUUCCAUAUGCCAUGGGUGUGGGUCUUGAAAGAAAAAAAAAAUAGCAAUCCUGGAGAAAUGGAUCACGAAAUUUCACAGCCUCAGAGAUGAAGAAAAUAAAUCCUUAAAGAUCUGGGGAAGAGAGAGAGGGAGGAGGAACAGAAAAAGAGGAGAGAGAGAGAAGGGAGAGGAGACAGUCAUACCAUAUAAUUAAAGUAUUAGCAACUUUUCAACUUUUCAACAGAAAUAUUGAAACCUAGAAAAAGUAGAGCACUGUGUAAAAAUCCUGAGGGAAAAUAAUUUCCAACCUAGAAUAAUGUACUCAGCUAAACUAUUAAUUGUGAAGGCAGAAAUAAAAACAUUGCAGUGUCUCAAAAAUUUACUUCCCAUGCAGCCUUUUUAAGGAAGCUACUGAAGAGUGUGCUAAUAACAAAGUGGAAUAAACUAAGGAAGAAUAAAACAUGGAAUCUGAGACACAGGGACCAAACAGAAGGAAGAUGAAGAGAAUAUAAAGAUAUUGGUGAAGGAAUAUCUUAGAAAAAUAAUUUCUCAGCAAGUCCAAAUUGGAGAGAGAAUGCUCUAGUGGAUAUGGAAAGCUUACCUGAUGCAUUUGACUAUGCUCACAUACACUUUUAAAGAUGUGAAUGGACUAGUGUUCAUUAUUUAUAAAGCAAAACAAAUGGAAAAAGAAGAUGCAAGUGCUAACUCCAAGAAAAACAAAAUAUUUACAAUGAAGGGAACAUAAUUACAGUAUAGUACCUGGCUGAAUUCUAAUAAAUAUUUCUAUUCAUAAAAAUGAUAUAACUAGAUUGAGAAGAUGAUGAGAAGGUAAGAGAGAGGGAGAGAGAAGUGGGUUUGCAUUGAGUCAGAUUCACAUCUUGCAUUGUUGGAAGUCAUUAGAUUGUAUGAAUAUAUAAUAUACCUAAGAAAUGAAGAUAUAGGUAUAUAAUAUUUUAUUUAUAAAUAAGAAGUGAAUACCAGAGGAAACAAUUAAAAAGAAAAGAAAAUGAUUAUUUGUGCUGAUCAGGACUUUGGAAUAGAGAGAAAUGGAGCAAAAGACAACUUUUUUCUUUUGCUACCUAUAGAGGUAUUUGAUUUUUAAAAUUAUGUAUAUAUAUUACUUUGAUAUAAAUAACAAUAUAAUGAACAAGUAAACUGAUGUGUUAGAUGUUCUUUUGUUAUAGAAAGGAAGAAAAGAAAUAAGUAAAGCCAUGAGAACCCAGUAAAAGAAAGUAUCAGAGGAGCUGCAAGAAUGCAGACAUGGCCAUUUAAUAGCUUAGAGGAAAGCUGAUACAUUUUUCUGGAGCAAUUCAUCUAGUGUAAUUUGUAAGCUCAUAAGAAACAGGAAGUGAACUGUGACUGUGGGUGGUUCCUUCUUCGUGCUCACAGCCUUUGAGCUAAGGCCAUUGUGGGAAGCAGCAGUAGGCUUGUGUGAAGGAUUCUUGUUGGCAAUGAAAAGGCAGAGAUGCCACCAGGCUUCCUCUAGUUAUAGGAGCCAUAGACACUGAUAACUGAAAGACUUGGUGCACUGCAGUCUUUUUCAAUGUGGGUUUUAAAACUCUAGAACAUUUGUCACCGCUGAAAUAAAAACAGUUGCUACCUUUUGCAGACCAUGGCAAUUCUUUAGGACGGACCAUUUGGACUGAUCAUCAAGCAUCCCAGAAAGACCCAGUUGUUAUGGGAUAGGCCUUAAGACACUUCCACAUACGCUAUGUUAUAUAAUCUUCCCCAAGGCAAUGGAAAUUAAAUAAAAUAGUGACACACAUAUGGCAAAUAAAGUUAACUCUUAUAUUUCCAGGAGAUAUCACAGCUUUACUAAGCCAGUGCUGAGCUCAGUAGAAUUCACUUUUGUUAAGAGGGUUAGUAGGAUACUACUAGCAAUGCAAAGUUAAGCUACACUAAUAAAAUUACGGAGUUCAGAUCAAGGAAGACAAUGGUUUCUCUGGAGUUUGCCUGGGUCAUACCACAUUUGGAAGGUUGUGGGAUCUGGUCAAAUUGGGGCACAGGCUGAGUAAAGGAAAAAUGACUGAGGAGAAUUAAAAGCAGGUAGCAUGGGAAAUAUUUAGAGGAACCAAAUAUUUAAGCCUGGAGGAAAGAAGACAUAUUGGAGCACAUAAUGGCUAUUUUGCCAUUUAAGUACUGUUGCUUAGAAGGACUGGAUUUUAUCCUGGAUUGUUUCUGAGACUGGAACUGAUAACACAGAAGUUUUAGGAAGCACUUGAAGGAGUAAUUUCUAAUGAGUAGUGAAGGGUAGGAUACUAUGUCUCACAGAUCACUUGCUGACCCUUCAUUGGAAUUGUUUGAGGAGCAACCAGGUGAUCAUCAAUGCUGCACUUUGGGAGAGGAUUCCCACAUUGCAAGAGAGGUUGUAGCAGCUGCAGUUAAGUCUCUGAUUUGGGUCUAAUAUUCUAGGUUCUUUGGUAUGUCAGUUUUGUUAUUGUCUCCAAAAACUGAUUAUCCAAUAAAUAAAUAUUGGCCAUCUCCUGUAUAUCAGGGAGCAAAGCAGACAUUGUCCUACCUCCUGGAAUGCUAAAUCCAGAAGAAGAGCUAACAAUUAAGUAGAUCAGAUAAUUGCAUAGAUAAUGUUAAUAGUAAUGAACAUUAUGAAGAAAAGAAUAUUAUGAAAACUUGUAACACAGGAUCUAAUCUAAUUUGGAGGGAGAUGGGAGAUUUCAUUAAAGAAGUUAUGUUUAAGCUGAUAGAGAGGCUGAGUUAGCCACUAGGAAACAACUCCAGAUCUUGGAUUAGAAAACUACACAUAUUGAAACAAAAAUUCUGCUUUAGCACUCAACCAGUCUUAAAAAUAUCCCUUAGCACAUCUCUUAUUUAUUGAUAUUGACUGAAGGCUACUUUUCUGCUUUAUGGGGAGUCCUCUUUACUCACAGCCUAGUUGAUUCACUUUGAGUUCAAACUUUGAAACCUUUUAGUUUGAUGGAAUGAUUUUGUUGUUGUUUUUGGCCCUGACUGAUAUCAGGACACUACUCUAUAUUUGUAGGUACUCAAAAGAGUCAGAUUCUGAAUUAUAGCCACAGAGGCAAGUGGAGUUUCUUCCCUGUCCUUGACUUUAGAGCUGAAAAUAUUGUCGUUUUAAAUACCACCAGCAAAACAGAGGAGUAGGGGAGGGAUGGCUCUAGGAGUAAUAAUCCUGUCCUCCUGAGUGAAUUUUAGAAACCUGCAGAGUGAAAUCUUUCAUCUAAAUUAAAGAUGGACCCUCACAGAACUUCAAAGAGUCUGAAGAUCUGAAAGGAAUAGCCAGGGCGCAUGAAGUGCUGGUGAAUAAUUACAACUUGAGAUUUAUUGGUGACAACCCUUGUGUCAAAG